rnacentral:rRNA from 2 species
UUAAGUGACUAAGCGUACACGGUGGAUGCCUGGGCAGUCAGAGGCGAUGAAGGACGUACUAACUUGCGAUAAGCGCAGAUAAGGCAGUAAGAGCCGUUUGAGUCUGCGAUUUCCGAAUGGGGAAACCCAACUGCAUAAGCAGUUACUGUUAACUGAAUACAUAGGUUAACAGAGCAAACCGGGGGAACUGAAACAUCUAAGUACCCCGAGGAGAAGAAAUCAACCGAGAUUCCGGUAGUAGCGGCGAGCGAACCUGGAUUAGCCCUUAAGCACUCGGUGAAGUAGGUGAACAAGCUGGAAAGCUUGGCGAUACAGGGUGAUAGCCCCGUAACCGACGCUUCAUCGAGCGUGAAAUCGAGUAGGGCGGGACACGUGAUAUCCUGUCUGAAUAUGGGGGGACCAUCCUCCAAGGCUAAAUACUCCUGACUGACCGAUAGUGAACCAGUACCGUGAGGGAAAGGCGAAAAGAACCCCUGUGAGGGGAGUGAAAUAGAACCUGAAACCGUGUACGUACAAGCAGUAGGAGCACCUUCGUGGUGUGACUGCGUACCUUUUGUAUAAUGGGUCAGCGACUUAUAUUCAGUGGCAAGGUUAACCGUAUAGGGGAGCCGUAGCGAAAGCGAGUCUUAACUGGGCGCUCAGUCUCUGGAUAUAGACCCGAAACCGGGUGAUCUAGCCAUGGGCAGGUUGAAGGUUGAGUAACAUCAACUGGAGGACCGAACCGACUAAUGUUGAAAAAUUAGCGGAUGACUUGUGGCUAGGGGUGAAAGGCCAAUCAAACUCGGAGAUAGCUGGUUCUCCCCGAAAGCUAUUUAGGUAGCGCCUCGGACGAAUACUACUGGGGGUAGAGCACUGUUAAGGCUAGGGGGUCAUCCCGACUUACCAACCCUUUGCAAACUCCGAAUACCAGUAAGUACUAUCCGGGAGACACACGGCGGGUGCUAACGUCCGUCGUGGAGAGGGAAACAACCCAGACCGCCAGCUAAGGUCCCAAAGUAUUGCUAAGUGGGAAACGAUGUGGGAAGGCUCAGACAGCUAGGAUGUUGGCUUAGAAGCAGCCAUCAUUUAAAGAAAGCGUAAUAGCUCACUAGUCGAGUCGGCCUGCGCGGAAGAUGUAACGGGGCUAAGCAAUACACCGAAGCUGCGGCAAUGUCUUUUAGACAUUGGGUAGGGGAGCGUUCUGUAAGCCGUUGAAGGUGAAUCGUAAGGUUUGCUGGAGGUAUCAGAAGUGCGAAUGCUGACAUGAGUAACGACAAAGGGGGUGAAAAACCUCCUCGCCGGAAGACCAAGGGUUCCUGUCCAACGUUAAUCGGGGCAGGGUGAGUCGACCCCUAAGGUGAGGCCGAAAGGCGUAAUCGAUGGGAAACGGGUUAAUAUUCCCGUACUUCUGACUAUUGCGAUGGGGGGACGGAGAAGGCUAGGUGGGCCAGGCGACGGUUGUCCUGGUUCAAGUGCGUAGGCUUGAGAGUUAGGUAAAUCCGGCUCUCUCUAAGGCUGAGACACGACGUCGAGCUACUACGGUAGUGAAGUCAUUGAUGCCAUGCUUCCAGGAAAAGCCUCUAAGCUUCAGAUAGUCAGGAAUCGUACCCCAAACCGACACAGGUGGUCGGGUAGAGAAUACCAAGGCGCUUGAGAGAACUCGGGUGAAGGAACUAGGCAAAAUGGUACCGUAACUUCGGGAGAAGGUACGCUCUUGAUGGUGAAGUCCCUCGCGGAUGGAGCUGACGAGAGUCGCAGAUACCAGGUGGCUGCAACUGUUUAUUAAAAACACAGCACUGUGCAAAAUCGCAAGAUGACGUAUACGGUGUGACGCCUGCCCGGUGCCGGAAGGUUAAUUGAUGGGGUUAGCGCAAGCGAAGCUCUUGAUCGAAGCCCCGGUAAACGGCGGCCGUAACUAUAACGGUCCUAAGGUAGCGAAAUUCCUUGUCGGGUAAGUUCCGACCUGCACGAAUGGCGUAAUGAUGGCCACGCUGUCUCCACCCGAGACUCAGUGAAAUUGAAAUCGCUGUGAAGAUGCAGUGUACCCGCGGCUAGACGGAAAGACCCCGUGAACCUUUACUACAGCUUGGCACUGAACAUUGAACCUACAUGUGUAGGAUAGGUGGGAGGCUAUGAAGACGUGACGCCAGUUGCGUUGGAGCCGUCCUUGAAAUACCACCCUUGUAUGUUUGAUGUUCUAACUUAGACCC